rnacentral:rRNA from 1 species
AUUGAACGCUGGCGGCAUGCUUUACACAUGCAAGUCGAACGGUAACAGGGAGCUUGCUCCGCUGACGAGUGGCGAACGGGUGAGUAAUGCGUCGGAACGUGCCGAGUAGUGGGGGAUAACGCAGCGAAAGUUGUGCUAAUACCGCAUACGUACUGAGGUAGAAAGUGGGGGACCUUCGGGCCUCACGCUAUUCGAGCGGCCGACGUCUGAUUAGCUAGUAGGUGAGGUAAAGGCUCACCUAGGCGACGAUCAGUAGCGGGUCUGAGAGGAUGAGCCGCCACACUGGGACUGAGACACGGCCCAGACUCCUACGGGAGGGAGCAGUGGGGAAUUUUGGACAAUGGGCGAAAGCCUGAUCCAGCCAUGCCGCGUGUCUGAAGAAGGCCUUCGGGUUGUAAAGGACUUUUGUCGGGGAGGAAAUCCCCAGCGCUAAUACCGCUGGGGGAUGACAGUACCUGAAGAAUAAGCACCGGCUAACUACGUGCCAGCCGCCGCGGUAA